rnacentral:rRNA from 1 species
AACGAACGCUGGCGGCAUGCCUAAUACAUGCAAGUCGAACGAGAUCUUCGGAUCUAGUGGCGCACGGGUGCGUAACGCGUGGGAAUCUGCCCUUGGGUUCGGAAUAACUUCUGGAAACGGAAGCUAAUACCGGAUGAUGACGUAAGUCCAAAGAUUUAUCGCCCAAGGAUGAGCCCGCGUAGGAUUAGGUAGUUGGUGAGGUAAAGGCUCACCAAGCCGACGAUCCUUAGCUGGUCUGAGAGGAUGAUCAGCCACACUGGGACUGAGACACGGCCCAGACUCCUACGGGAGGCAGCAGUAGGGAAUAUUGGACAAUGGGCGAAAGCCUGAUCCAGCAAUGCCGCGUGAGUGAUGAAGGCCUUAGGGUUGUAAAGCUCUUUUACCCGGGAUGAUAUUGACAGUACCGGGAGAAUAAGCUCCGGCUAACUCCGUG